ensembl:misc_RNA Metazoa_SRP Metazoan signal recognition particle RNA
GCUGGGCAUGAUGGCACACACCUGUAGUCCCAGCUACUUGGAAGACCGAAGCCCGAGAUGGGCUUGAACCCAGGAGCCCUGGGCCGUAGUGUGCUAUGCCAAUCAAGUGUCUACACUAGGUUUGGCAUCAAUAUGGUGACUUCUCAGGAGCAGAAACCAUAAGGUUGCCUAAGGAGGGGUGAACCAGCCCAUGUCAAAACCAGAGCAAGUCAAAACUCCCGUACUGAUCAGUACUGUGAUCCUGCCUGUGAAUAGGCACUACACUCCAGCCUGAACAACAUAGCCAGACCUAAUUCUCU